rnacentral:rRNA from 1 species
CAGUGAGGAAUUUUUCGCAAUGGGCGCAAGCCUGACGAAGCAAUGCCGCGUGAGGGAAGAAGGACCGUGGUUCGUAAACCUCUUUUUUCAGAGAAGAAUAAAUGACGGUAUCUGAAGAAUAAGCUCCGGCUAACUCUGUGCCAGCAGCCGCGGUAAUACAGAGGGAGCAAGCGUUAUCCGGAAUGAUUGGGCGUAAAGCGUCUGUAGGUGGUCAAAAAAGUCAACUGUCAAAUCCCAAGGCUCAACCUUGGCUGGGCAGUCGAGUACUUUUUGACUUGAGUGUGGUAGAGGUAGAGGGAAUCCCUAGCGUAACAGUGAAAUGUGUAGAUUUUAGGGAGAACACCAGCGGCGAAGGCGCUCUACUGGGCCAAGACUGACACUGAGAGACGAAAGCUAAGGGAGCGAAUAGGAUUAGA